rnacentral:misc_RNA from 1 species
UGUGACUGCCUCACUACCCCAUGAGUAAUUUCCUGUAUCCAAUCUCAGUGCCCUCCACUUUACAUUACCACCACGCACACGGAUUCGUCUGACUGUCUUGUUAUUUGAGAGCUUAGUAUUAGCAGGCUGGCGGCCAAGUUCAUACUUUCGCUUCUUCCUCCACGAUUUCUUCUUGCCACCAGUAGCACGCCUCUUGUGCAUAGAGUCUCGUGAGAUA